rnacentral:rRNA from 1 species
GAUGAACGCUGGCGGCGUGCCUAACACAUGCAAGUCGAGCGAUCUUCUUCGGAAGAGAGCGGCGGACGGGUGAGUAACGCGUGGGUAACCUGCCCUGUACACACGGAUAACAUACCGAAAGGUAUGCUAAUACGAGAUAAUAUGCUUUUAUCGCAUGGUAGAAGUAUCAAAGCUUUUGCGGUACAGGAUGGACCCGCGUCUGAUUAGCUAGUUGGUAAGGAACGGCUUACCAAGGCGACGAUCAGUAGCCGACCUGAGAGGGUGAUCGGCCACAUUGGAACUGAGACACGGUCCAAACUCCUACGGGAGGCAGCAGUGGGGAAUAUUGCACAAUGGGCGAAAGCCUGAUGCAGCAACGCCGCGUGAGCGAUGAAGGCCU